rnacentral:lncRNA from 1 species
GCUACAUCUGAGAGCUGCAGGCCUUCCAGAGCCCUGAGACCUACUGAGCCUUCCUGCAGAGGUGUGCAGCCCACAAGGCGCUGUGUGCGCUCACAGCAGUCACCCUGAUUGAAGAGCCAAAGCAGUUGACAUCCAGUCUCCCUUUUCAGCCCAUCCUGAACUGGUUGAAGAUUAAAGGGAGAUGAACACAAUGGCCUGUACUGUGGGACCUGCAGGCAGCUCUUCAGCUCCCUGCGCAACAAGAAGCAACCUGCUGCAGAGGCAGCACCUGCAGCGCCUCACAGGGGAAUUCAAAAAAGAUUCUGCCGCAUACUCAAAGCACCCAGAGCCUCUGGAAGAAGAGAAAGGACAAGAUUCAAAUGAGGCUGAGCCAGAGGAGGAAGCUGAGGGCCCCGAAUCCCUUCCGCUCAGAAGUCUGCAUCCAGAGAGGAGUUUUGCUUCACUCGACUUGUGUUUCUCGCAAGGGUUUGUCUAUAGAUUGCUGAAAAUCAAGGAAUUGGAGCUCAGGGAGCUGAGGAGGACUGUAGAAAGAGCUGGAGCAGAGGAGGAGGCCCUGCAGAGGCAGCU